GGGGCGCCACUCACCGGGAGCGCGCACGCGUCGGCAGCCAGAUUUCCUUCGCCCUCUGGGUCUUGGGUGUUUCCUUUUUUAAGCCGGUCGCGGCAAGCUGAGGCUGUGAUUGCACUCCUUCUCGGCGCAUGCGUCAUCAGUGACCCCCGCGGGCUCCGACGGCUGGUGCUCUGCGUUCGCCCCUCCCCUCACUCUCCCUUUCCCCGGCGCGUCUCGGUGCGCAUGCGACUUGCCUCGUUAGUCAGCCCUGAGCUGCGGAGGGGUUCCCGGGUGCCGGAGGAGACUCCCGCUCCCUUGGGCCGCGCGUUUGCGCGAUCCGCGGCAGCCGCCGGCCGUGCAGGAAAACCGAGAUCUCCCUGGCGCUCCUUCCCUGCACCGGUUACUGGAAAGCAGGGGAGGCGGGGCCUGGUCGGCUGAGGGUGCGGCCGAACCCGGGAGUGUUAACUUUGGGUCAGGGCGGCUUUGGUGUUCACCCUGGAUUCGAGGAGCGAGGAGGAGAGAAAGGAGAGUUUCUUGUAUGCGGGAUCCAGAGGCUAAAAAGCAGACCCUCUCUCUCUUGAAAAGCAACUCAUUUUGCGAAUGCCAGGAAAAAAUUUUCGGGUGUUGGCGGGUGAAAGACUUUUUCCCCCUUCCAAUGGUAUCACUUGCGUUUUGUCUCCUUGGACUGGAAGAGGGGAUUUGUGAAGGUGACUGGAUCUCCAGACUCUUCCCUUCCCCUCUCCUGCAGGUGCACUGCUUUAGUCGUUCUUAUUGGAGGGUGGGCCUGGGGAGACCGGACGUGAAUCCUUGGCUGGAGGAGGGAAGCCAAAGAAGUGUACUCAAGAGAAAAGGAACAUCAGAAUCGAGGAACUUAUUCAGAUCCCUGAUCAUUCACCUGAGGAUUUUUCUGUCAACAGUGGGAAAGCAUGAUGGAGUCAUCAUAUGACAGGAUUUUAGUAGACAUUUUUUUUCCUGCUUAGCAGUCUUUCCCUAUUCUGAUCAUUUCCUUUGGAGAACUAUCCUUUCUUCACUCUCAGACCAUAUGGCUGAGGCAGGACUCCAGAGGAAAACAUAUUUGAGUUAAUCUUCUGCCUUAGGUUAGACUUACUAAGAAGGGUGAUCUCUCUUUUCCAAUGGAUUUAAGUCUGGAAAAAUGGAAGCCUGAGGCCAUCUUCCCACUCACAGAUUCUGAGAAAAAAGGCAACAUGGAAGAAAGCAGAUUCAGAAAUGGAGAUUUGGCCUGGAGACAUGUGUGAUGCCCUGAAUCCAUUGUGGACUAGAUAAUUCUGGAAAUUUCAGCUAAGUUACUCAAUAAAUUCUUUCAUGUAUCUAUUGCUUAAA